rnacentral:tRNA from 1 species
UGGGCGCGCUCGGCGACCGGAUCGGCCGCCGGCGGCUGCUGCUGGCCGGCGCCGCCGCGUUCGGGAUCGCCUCGUGCCUGGCC